AAUCUCUGUACAGCUCAGUUGAUCGAUCUGAUCUGACUUGAACAAUUAAUUGGUAAGGUGUGUUGGUUGAGAUAGCUGGGAAAAGAAGCUUCCGGCGGCCAUUAUUUAUUUAAAAGCUCCUCGAACCAUUUUUGCUCAAAACUAACUUUAAUUUACUGCCAAAGUUAACGCCGGGCAGCAUGAGUUAUCAGCAAGUUCCAUAUGAAGCACCUGGCUAUGAAGAAGCGCCGCCGACUCUCGUCCACCACCACCACCAACACCAAUAUCCACAACCAGAAGAAUGGCCUUCGCCGGCGGGGUAUUUUGAACCUUCGCCACCACCGCCUCCUCUUGUAGAGGCCCCGGAGGACGAACACCACGGUUUCUGUUCGUGUUUGCAACGCUGUUUGAGUUUUCUUCUUUGCUGCUGGUGCUGCUAGCUAGGCAACUCCGCCGCAUAUAUAUAUAUAUAUAUAUAUAUAUAUAUAUAUAUAUGCAUCAACCAAUUCAAUAUUGUGAUUGUAUUUGACUAUUUGUCGUGUGUGGAUUUUAAUUCGGAAAACCUCGUGUGGCAUCGCAUCAAUCUUCCUAAUAAUUUAAUUAUUGUAUCAUCACUUUGCUUAGCUUGCAUUGUAAUGCUGCUAAAGUUAUAUAUAUUGUACUGUGUUAAAUUCUUCUAAUUAUUUUUACUUUUCAAAAUUUUGAAUUGAAUUAAACUUGUAAUUUCAGGAUAUGAGAGUCAUGUAUGUUCUAGCUA